UUUUGGGGAUCAUUAGCUAUUUUAUUGUGAUGGUUGCCGGGGCAAUAGGUUGUAUGAACUCAUGAUUAGGCUGGACAGACAGACAGAAAGGUGGCUAGAUAGAUAGACCUCCUUAUAGGCUACCUCUGUUUCUCAUACUCUCACACAAAGAUACUCCCAUUCACUCUCUCACGCACACAAACCCAGAGUGGGGACUAUGUGAUCCAAGAGAAAAAAAGAGGAAAUCCUCUGUUGCUGCAGAGAAAGAGGUAGGUUUAUUAUUAGACUCUUUCUCUCAUGCAUGAACACAUUCAUCAUCCUGAAAGACCAAAUAUUUAUUCCAACUAUGUCCAUUAGUUCUUCUCAGCCCCUGACUGUCCUCAUUAAUACACAUUUGUUUGUUUUCCCUGCUGCAAACUUGUUUUAUUGCACAAAAACUUCAAACACUGCCAUAUAAAUUAGUUAGACUUGUUUAACAUUUUUCAUAAUUGCCUUUUAGUUUUACUCUUGAAAAUGGGUGUUGUUGUGAUUUUCAAAAAAACAUGUGAAUAUAUAAGUUAGUAUGGUUUAUUAAGAAUUUCACUGUUAAACUGUAUACAAUGCUUGUUAAAUGGUUGCAUUUCAGUUCGUGAUUUUUUUCCUUAUCUGUGUUUCAGGGUCAAGGAGGAGGUUGUAAACUCCUCGAGGCCAUGGUUUGGAUAUUGGAGGUAAAUACUGUGCAGAACAUCUCUGAAAUGACACAGAUAGUAAGAAGUGUAGUUUUACAUUUACCCUUCAGUUACUCCGUGUUGUUGUUGUUGUUGCAUUGAGAAGCUCUGAGGUGUUUUUGCCUGGACUGGAGGUUGUGCAUAUGCUUGUGUUUAUGUGUCAGGGUCUGACAGAGCAGUGUCACUUAGCAGAAGAACAUGAGCUAUCUGAGGAUGAAGAGGGAUGAGGCUGGAUCCUGCUGUUUCUCCUCGCCACCAUUAUCCUACAGGAGAGAGACCUGUGGGGGGUAUAUACACACACACACACACACACACACACACACACACACACACACACACACACACACACACACACGUAUACGCGCACAAAACCCACUCACACUCACCCUGGGAAUCGUCUCAGCUGUUCCCCCCACACUCUCCCUAUAGUCUUCCUCCUUGGCCCUAAACACCUCAGUUUGCCGGCUCUGGUUCCUCCCGGCUCUGGAUCGGGCCCCAGCAGCUGACUGCCGGUUUCUGUGGAGGGAUUAAGGCUCUUAAUGGCCACCACUCUGUAAUGGUUUACACUGCAUUACUGUAC